CACGUAGGGGGCAAGCGUUGUCCGGAUUUAUUGGGCGUAAAGAGCCCGUAGGCGGCUCAGUAAGUCGGGUGUGAAACCUCCAGGCUCAACCUGGAGACGCCACCCGAUACUGCUGUGGCUUGAGUCCGGUAGGGGAGCGUGGAAUUCCUGGUGUAGCGGUGAAAUGCGCAGAUAUCAGGAGGAACACCAGCGGCGAAGGCGGCGCUCUGGGCCGGAACUGACGCUGAGGAGCGAAAGCGUGGGUAGCAAACAGG
rnacentral:rRNA from 1 species